rnacentral:rRNA from 1 species
UACGUAGGGAGCAAGCGUUGUCCGGAAUCAUUGGGCGUAAAGCGCGCGUAGGUGGCUUCGUAAGUCCGUUGUGAAAGUCAAAGGCUCAACCUUUGAAAGCCGAUGGAUACUGCGGAGCUAGAGUACGGAAGAGGCGAGUGGAAUUCCUGGUGUAGCGGUGGAAUGCGCAGAUAUCUGGAGGAACACCGGUGGCGAAGGCGGCAUCCUGGACCGGCAUUGACGCUGAGGCGUGAAAGCCAGGGGAGCAAAGCGGG